UUGCUCGCUUUGGCAGCACAUAUACUAAAAUUGGAACAAUAUAGAGAAAAUUAACAUGGCCCCAGCACAAGAAUGAUAUGCAAAUUCGUGAAGUGUUCCAUAUUCUU